GUGGUCAAUGCCCUUAAUAGUAUCCCUUAAUGUUCAGUCUGCCCUGAAGUGUUGGACUAGUUUGAACUAGAAUUAUUCUAUUCUAUUCUAUUCUAUUCUAUUCUAUUCUAUUCUAUUCUAUUCUAUUCUAUUCUAUUAUCAGAUAUAUGAAGCUUUCCUUUCAAGGAACUCAGUGUUUUACAAAUUAUAAUUUUGAAUUUUCAGUGAAUGGCAAAAGUGAUGACUGUUAUGAAAAACUGGUUAAACACACUCUGGGAAAGAACUCCAGACUUCUGUUUAAGUUCAUACUUGAGGACCAUCCUGCCUGCUCUACUGACACUUAGUACCACUGUAAUGAAGUUCAUGGGUCAUGGAUCAGUACAUGCUGAGGAACACCUGACUGAAAAGCCUUACAGAAAAGGACCCGAGCUCCUGGUGGACACCACAUUGACUAUCAGCCAACAAUAUGCCCAUGCACAAAAGGCAGCUAAUGGUAUUCUGGGCUUCAUUAGAAAUGUUGUCAGCAGGUUGAGGAAGGGGAUCCUUCCCUCUACGCAGCACUGGUGAAGCCAAACAUGGAGUACUGUGUGCAGUUCUGGACUCCCCAGUACAAGAGAGAGGCAGACAUAAUGGGGGGAAUCCAACAGAGGGCCGUGAGGAAGAUUGUGAGUGUCAUUCAUACUAGGAAAGGCUGGGAAUGCUAAGACUGUUUAGUCUGGAGGAAAAAAUAUUCUAAGGGGUAUCUGAGGUGGGCAGUGUCUGAUCAAUGUACAUAAUUACCUGAAGGCAGGGUGUAAAGAUAACACAGCCAGGCUUUUUUCAGCGCUGCCCAGUGACAGGACCAGAGGCAAUGAGCACCAACUGAAACAUGGAAGGUUCUGCCUGAACAUCAGGAAACACUUCUUUACUGGGAGAGUAACUGAGCCCUGGCACAGGUUGCCCAGGGAAGUUGUAGAGUUUCCCUCUUUGAAGAUAUUCAAAAGCCAUCUUGACAUGGUCAUCAUUUCUGGGUGGCCCUGCUUGAGCGAGUGGUUGGAUCAGAUGAUUUUGAGAGUCCCUUCCAAAUUUAACCAUUCCGUUAUUUUCACCAACCAUCAGCAUGUCAAAAAUCUUCCUAGAAAAUAGUGGCUUUGUGGCUUAAUCUGUUAUUUUUCAAGUAUCUCCUGAUGCUAUAGCAGAUCUUUCUGUACAUUGAUAAUGCAGAUGGUGCAGAAAGGAAUUUAAUAGCUAGGACAGGUUCCUUCUCAGGACAAUGCUGCUGUUUCAUUUACUGCAUGAACUGAUUGAGAUCUUUAUGAGAUCACUUUAAUUUGGACUUAUGCAAUGCUCAGAAAGGUCAGACAGGUUAUUCCCUCCUUUCCAUUACUUCCCAGAACUAGUGAAGACAGAAAGCACAGUGGUAAAAAAAACUCAAAUCAAACUGUUUAAUAUUGUUAAGAAUAUAUUGCUCCCAUCAGCAGAGAAGUUCAUUCCAGAUAAGAUCUCAGACUAAAGCAAGGACUCUUAUCUUCUCUAUGCAUCCCCAACACCUGGGAGCACAAAAAGAGGACAACACGGCCUUCCAUUAGCUCUUCCAGUCUAAAGAACAGAAGAGAGUUCAACCAAGCAAGGGAAGGACAUAUCAUAAUCUUUUCUCACUUUCUAAUGCUCUAAGGACCAGAAGAGAAAGUAUCAAAAAGUGCACAUCAUGACCUCAUGUGUGUGUUCAGUGACUGACAUGCACAUGUAGUAAAUGAAGGUCAGUUAGAUAUUUGCAAGUAACAAGAGCAUUACAACUUGUGGCUUAACUUGCACCACAACUUGAUUCACUUAUAUGUACAACAGCAACUAUAAGAAUAGAAGAAUAUCAACUGGACAAAAAAGCCUCUUGAACACCUUGAAAAUAAUCUCUCUUCCGUUUUGUUUUGUAAUAAAAAUGAAGUAUUUUGUAAGAAGUACUGUUGUCUACCUGGUAAUUCCUUAACUCAUAUCAGUUGAAAACUGUGCAGUUACAGAAGGAAGAAGAUUCAAACUUAAGAUGAGUGAAGAACUCUAAGCUUAAGGUGAACAGAUUUUCUACAGCGCUUGCCUUGCUUCCCUUCAUGACUAGUCAUGAAGACAGGACAGAAGGUCCUUCCACACAUCCCUCACCAGAUCCCAUUCCUCCACACUCCAUUUAGUUUCUGCAGUUCAAGCAGAUUCCUUUUCCCCCUGAAAUCAAUGUUUAAUUAACACAUUAUUGGAAAAAAAAGGGAUGCAAGAGCAGACUGAAACAAAGCCAGCACUACCCUGCUCUGCAGAUGCAGCCAGUCCCAUUAGAAAAUUACCCCACUGGAAAGUUAUUCCUCUCCUCAUCCUCCUUCAGCUGCCAACAAACAUCAUCCUCUUGCUUAGUUACCUUUCUUUCCAUCUCCACAGGACUCUUUCCUUUCUUAGAAGUGGUCCACAACAGCAGAAAAAAAGUAGAGGGAGAAGAGGAGCAAGUGCUCUCUGUGUAGCCUCACAGUAUGACCAAGGCCUCAUCUUUAAUCCUGCCACGCCCACAGAAGCAGCACACUGAUUCCCCUGAUGACUGCCCCAUCGACACAGCAAGCACAGCAGAAACAGGACAGUGUGCUGUGCCAUGAACAGGGCAUUCUCAGAGGGUCAAACUCACAUGCAGAUCCUGGAACUACACACAACAGUGUGUACCCAAAGGCAGCAGAGAUGCUACCGGCAGCUUCAAAAAGUUUACAUCAUACCUCCCCCUAUCGUCAUCAAUUAUUAUUCUAUCCCAUUCCUUGGCUCUCAUCCGGCUGCUGGAAGGUACUUGGAUGCAGGGGAUGCUGCAGCACUGUCAAGGGCAUUUUAAGGCAGGCCUAGGGCCCUCCCUGCUACACACACAGGCACCCACACUACAGGGCUGGUGCAGCCAGCAAAGGACAGCAGAGUCCAUGAACUCCUGGGCUGAGCUGCCCUAGUCAUGAAGGGAGGCAUCAGGAUCUUUGAAAGAGUCUACCAUCCCAGCACUGUCAUUCCCAGGAUCCAAAGCUACUAGUGUUAAUUAGUUCCCAUGAUGUGAUGGAUGACAAGCGGCAGGACUAGGAAUGACACAAGCAGAUUGUGUUUGAAAUAAGCCGUCCCUCACCAUCAAGGGCAGAGCAAAGGAAUUUGGAAAGGACAGGAGCUCAGCACACCAGUGAGAGACGACAGAUAUGCUGACAGGCCCAAAAUCCCUGAUAUACCCUUCCCACCACCCCAGCUCGCUCCUCUGCCAGCAGACAAAAGAGAGGCAGGGGAGUAUGCCUGGCAGCGAACUCAGGCACCUGGCUGUGAGAAACAAGAAGAAAGCUCUGAGAAAAGGGGAAGUAAAGCAGAUGAAGGGCUAAUCUACCUUGUAGCAAGAGGCCAUAUUUCAGACAGAGCUGAACUUCUAGCAGCUAUAAGUGAACCUCCACCACCCUCUGAAAAGCCACACAGUGAUACCUGCAGCAGCCCAGAGUCUAAAGAGGCUGAAGGCUUUAGCCCAGACAGAGCACUUUGCCAAGCUGGCUGUGCAGUGCACAGUUCACAAGAGCUGUCCACAGUGCUCAGAGAGCACUGUUUUCUGUCAAUGGUAACAAGAGAAACUGUGUUCCCACCUUCCCUUAAGGAAGAACGCAGGAUCUUCCAACAUCACUAGUGUAUUUCCAGUAGGAGUCUUAUUGCUCAACUUUUCAAGAACAUCACUACAGAAACACUGCAUUUUAUCCCUACUAGACUUCAGUAAAACCAUACUCAAGUUAGCCCAACCAAAAGUCAUAGUUUUUCCAUUUAAAAAAAAUUCACAAAGGGAAUAAACCGAGCACUAAAAGUGUCAUCCAUUGCCCACAAGUAGAAAGGCAGAAAAAAUUUCUCCCAUGCUGUCUUUCUACAAACAUGUCUUCAUCUGGCUGUUUGGAUGGCAGUGAGACAUCAAAAUACCACUUCUGAUUCUCAGAGUCCUUUACACAUGAAUUGCCAGUAUCUAUGCCCAAGUGAAGAGAAACAAAAGAAAAGAAAAAGCAAACAACCUGGACCAAGAUUAUGUAGUGUACUGGUUUCAAGAAGAUACUUUUAAUUUGUGAAACCAAGAUACAAGAGGUAUCUUCCUCACCAUUUGCUGUAUGAAUUACAAACCAGCUCUGCUAGACUGACAGACUGCUAUUACAUAGAAGAUGAGGAUGAGGGAGAGAUAAGAGCUGAUAGAAAUUUCCAAAGCUUAACCAAAAUUUGGGUAAUUUCUGGCUCCAGCUUGGGCAAUUGUCCCAAAAUAAAGCCUAUUUUCUCUUCAUGCUGGUGGGGGGCAGGACCAGAUAAAGCUGGAUGCAUUUUGUUUUUAAAUUAAACACUAUGUCUUCUGUAUCAUCAUCAGAGGUCAUCUCUUAUCCUGGUUUUUGGUCAUCAUAAAGUUUCUGACUCCUUCAGUUUGUUCUUGGACAGAUCAUUGUGUGUCCUUAUCAUUGACACAGCCUAUCACAGCUUAGCCAGUAUCCUGACAUCCACCUGCAUGUGCCCACAGCACAGAGCUAAAGAAAAGGGCAAAGAAAAACAGAUCCAGGGGGGAAAUACACUCUGCUUCUCAAUAAAAAUACUUUAAAGAGCCCUGGAAGAGGCUACAGAAAACAGAAGUUGAGUAGAUCCACCAAAAUACCGCUGCUGAUACAAGAAAAAGGGAACUAAACUCCACCUUCCCAGGAAUAAUCCAGACAAGAGCCUAACCAUCUUGUACAGCCUGAAGGUGUCCUCUAUGCUGAAGGUUUAAAUCUUAAAUCCAAUCCUAACACAAAAAAAAAAAAAAAAAAAAAAAAAAAA
ensembl:lncRNA